GAUGAACGCUAGCGGCAGGCCUAACACAUGCAAGUCGAGGGGUAGACAUCUUCGGAUGUUGAGACCGGCGCACGGGUGCGUAACGCGUAUGCAAUCUACCUUAUACUAAGGGAUAGCCCAGAGAAAUUUGGAUUAAUACCUUAUGGUUAAUAAAGCCGGCAUCGGUUUAAUUAUAAAGAUUUAUUGGUAUAAGAUGAGCAUGCGUCCCAUUAGUUAGUUGGUAAGGUAACGGCUUACCAAGACGAUGAUGGGUAGGGGUCCUGAGAGGGAGGUCCCCCACACUGGUACUAAGACACGGACCAGACUCCUACGGGAGGCAGCAGUGAGGAAUAUUGGUCAAUGGACGGAAGUCUGAACCAGCCAUGCCGCGUGCAGGAUGAAGCAUCUAUGGUGUGUAAACUGCUUUUGUACGGGAAGAAAAAAAGCUACGUGUAGUUUACUGACGGUACCGUAAGAAUAAGGAUCGGCUAACUCCGUGCCAGCCGCCGCGGUAA
rnacentral:rRNA from 1 species